GCAGUGGGGGAUAUUGCACAAUGGGGGGAACCCUGAUGCAGCGACGCCGCGUGGGUGAAGGAGUGCUUCGGCAUGUAAAGCCCUAUCGGCAGGGAAGAAGCAAGACGGUACCUGACUAAGAAGCCCCGGCUAACUACGUGCCAGCAGCCGCGGUAAUACGUAGGGGGCGAGCGUUAUCCGGAUUCACUGGGUGUAAAGGGAGCGUAGACGGCCAUGCAAGCCAGGGGUGAAAGCCCGGGGCCCAACCCCGGGACUGCCCUUGGAACUGCAUGGCUGGAGUGCGGGAGGGGCAGGCGGAAUUCCUGGUGUAGCGGUGAAAUGCGUAGAUAUCAGGAGGAACACCGGCGGCGAAGGCGGCCUGCUGGACCGCGACUGACGUUGAGGCUCGAAAGCGUGGGGAGCGAACAGGAUUAGAUACCCU
rnacentral:rRNA from 1 species